rnacentral:misc_RNA from 1 species
CCUUCAUGUGGUCUUAUGGUGGGUGCACUUUUGAAGGCAGAGGAGAAGUUGAAAAACUUGGGGUCUAGGAAUUUCUUCUUGUGCUCAAAGCCUUCAAACUCAAACUCACCGUCUGUCAAUACAAGGAAGCAAUAGCAGUGACCAUCAAAUCUGCAUUUCCAUUUCUAAAGUUGAUGUACUUCUUGCCAUAGUUCCUUUGGUUAAUUUCUCCAGUUAGCUAUGUAGCUUAGCACAGCACAUUUU